rnacentral:ribozyme from 1 species
GUUAUAGGAUUGGUGUUCCCUUUUGGUACCCAAAGAUACUUUGAUAAUUGCGUUUCCACCCUUCCCAAGUCAUGGUUAUACCUGUUA